UGGGGAAUAUUGCACAAUGGGGGAAACCCUGAUGCAGCGACGCCGCGUGGAGGAAGAAGGUCUUCGGAUUGUAAACUCCUGUUGUUGGGGAAGAUAAUGACGGUACCCAACAAGGAAGUGACGGCUAACUACGUGCCAGCAGCCGCGGUAAAACGUAGGUCACAAGCGUUGUCCGGAAUUACUGGGUGUAAAGGGAGCGCAGGCGGGAAGACAAGUUGGAAGUGAAAUCUAUGGGCUCAACCCAUAAACUGCUUUCAAAACUGUUUUUCUUGAGUAGUGCAGAGGUAGGCGGAAUUCCCGGUGUAGCGGUGGAAUGCGUAGAUAUCGGAAGGAACACCAGUGGCGAAGGCGGCCUACUGGGCACCAACUGACGCUGAGGCUCGAAAGUGUGGGUAGCAAACAGGAUUAGAUACCCUGGUAGUCCACACCGUAAACGAUGAUUACUAGGUGUUGGAGGAUUGACCCCUUCAGUGCCGCAGUUAACACAAUAAGUAAUCCACCUGGGGAGUACGACCGCAAGGUUGAAACUCAAAGGAAUUGACGGGGGCCCGCACAAGCAGUGGAGUAUGUGGUUUAAUUCGACGCAACGCGAAGAACCUUACCAAGUCUUGACAUCCCUUGACAGGCAUAGAAAUAUGUUUUCUCUUCGGAGCAAGGAGACAGGUGGUGCAUGGUUGUCGUCAGCUCGUGUCGUGAGAUGUUGGGUUAAGUCCCGCAACGAGCGCAACCCUUAUGGUCAGUUACUACGCAAGAGGACUCUGGCCAGACUGCCGUUGACAAAACGGAGGAAGGUGGGGAUGACGUCAAAUCAUCAUGCCCUUUAUGACUUGGGCUACACACGUACUACAAUGGCGUUAAACAAAGAGAAGCGAGACCGCGAGGUGGAGCAAAACUCAGAAACAACGUCCCAGUUCGGACUGCAGGCUGCAACUCGCCUGCACGAAGUCGGAAUUGCUAGUAAUCGUGGAUCAGCAUGCCACGGUGAAUACGUUCCC
rnacentral:rRNA from 1 species